UGUGCCUAUCCUUUUGAGUUAUUGCUGGAAGUUUAAUCACUGCCACAACUUGAUGGAAACUGUCGUGAUCUUGGCCAGUGUCAUGCUGAAACCUAUGCUGAAGAAGCUUCACCAGCAUGAAAGCUGUGCUAUUUUCGCUACAUAUAUGUAGUGCAUUCUUCUGCUUUGCUGUCUGGAUGUAUUUCACGCUUGUUCCAGUAAUUUUCUUUAUAUGUCGACCAGCACUACUCUCACUUAAUAUAGCGGUUUAUAAUUCGUUUAUCA